rnacentral:tRNA from 1 species
GGCGGCGUAGCUCAGUCGGUUAGAGCAGCGGUUUCAUAAGCCGCGUGUCGGUGGUUCGAGUCCACCCGCCGCCACCA